UCCAAUAACCUCCCACCAGGUCCCUCCCCCAACACUGGGGACUACAUUCAACAUGAGAUUUGGGUGUUAACACAGAGCUAAACCAUAUCACAGAGGAGACCAUGUAAGGCCCUGGAGAACAUGUGGGGCUGGGAAGGGCAUAGGUGUAAUGUGCUGGGACUGAUGUUCCUGAAAGGACCAUUCUGGCUGCUGUGUUUGUCAGGGAUCAAGGUGGAAUCCCAAAGUGAUUCUCCUGCUGGCUUCCAUCAGAUCUGCUCCUGUCCCAGAGGGUCCUGCUCCUGCCUUUGUUCAGGGAAACCUAACAUUCUUCAGAGUGGAGCACGGUCUCUGGAUCCAGGGAAGUCACAGCCAAGGAAGUGCAUGUGAGAAGCCUAACCCUCAUUUGGACUUGACAGAAAUCACAGGAUCCUAGACUUUGCCAUAAUUGAUGCUAUAAUUGAAUGCAAUUCAUGGGGGUCCUGGCGGGAAUCAGUAUAUUUUUGCAUGUGAAAGGACUGUGAAUAAUUGGAAUUACAGGAAAGGUGAUUGUCUACUUUUGUAGUAAUGGCCACCAGUGAUUCACGCCCUCAGUCUGCAAGUAGCCCCUUCCCACAUUGACUCUGGGCUUGGCCGUGUGAAUGACUAUGGCUGCCAAUGGGACAUCAGCACAUGCAAUGCAUGCAGAGGCCUGGAGAAACACUCGCUCCUUAGGGCUUGCCCUCUCUUGCUGCUUCCAUGGAGCCCUCCCAUCACUACAUGAAUGAGCCCGGGUUGACCAAUCAGAGGAUGGGAGACUAUGUGGAGAAGAGCCCCAGCUGUCCCAGCCAGGCCAGCUGAGGGUCUCAAAGAUGUCAGUGAGUUCCACUUCAGCCCAACUGGCUCAAACUAGAAGAAAUACUAGUUAUUCCAUAGGAUCAUUUGAUUGUGUUAAACCAUUAAGUUUUGAGGUGGUUUUUUAAGGCGGAGAAAGCUAACCAAUAUGGAAAGGCUCAAAUAUAGAUAAAUCCAGCAGCAGAUGGAAGAUGGGGGAGGUGACAUUGAGGUAGCAAAAUCUCUGGAGCCAGUUGUGUGGGCAGUUUCCUAAGAAAACCUAAAGCAGUUCACAGAGGGUGACCCUAGUAUGGCCGAUGGAGAGCCACAAAAAAGAAAAUGCCAGAAGUCAAGUUCAAUGGGAAAAUUGAAGAUGGAAACUGAAGCAUGAACAGUAAGUUUGGAAGUCUGUGGGAUUAACAAGAGACCAAGUGGUGGGAGAAAUGAAUGGGUUAGACCAAGCGAUUCAGAAAUAAAGCUUUGGGCAAGAGGAAGUCAUAGGUCCUCCUUUUAUGAAGCAACUAAUAAUGCCUAUACCCUACUGUACAGCAAUUAAAUCUGAAUCUCUGAGAGUAGGGUCUAGGUAUUUUUUAAGCAUUGAAAAAAAGCUUUGAAAGAGUAUUUAAAAAGCUUCCCAGGUGAUUGGAUUAUGGAGUAGGAGAAGACUCUGGAAGAGAUGACGCAAUCCCUAGAGCAAGACCCAUCAGGUUUCUGAGAAAUGAGUAAAUACAGAAUCUCUCAGAAUCUCCUCAUUUUCAUAUAUUUUGUGAUUGAUCUAAACUGCUAUUAACCUCAAAGAUCAGUGUUAGGACUUGAUGACUAAUGGCUAUUUCUGAGUCAAAAAUGAAAUAGCACUUAUUUUCGUAACGUAAUAAAAUUCAAGUGCACAUUAACUCAGAUCCCGUGAAUCAGCGAAUAUGAUCAUUUGAACAGAGCCUGAAGUUAUCUAUGGAAAUAUAUUUUGCAUAAGUUAUCACACAAGAUUUCAAGAUUUUGGUAGAAAGGCUUAAACUAACAAAAAAGAAAUAUCUUAAAUGAGUAAGCCAGCCUGAUAACUGAGACAAUAAGGAGUAGUGGGGAGCUAUGACAAAUCAGAUUUAGGGAGGAGGCUUUGUGCCAUCCAAAAGAAAAGAAUUGAAGGCCAGUUUAGCCCACAGGCUGCCAGUUUAUGGAACUCUGAGUCAUACUAGAAACCAUUAUAAUAGAGAAGUAAACAUAAGUAUAGAAUUACAAUAAAUGAGGGGUCAGGAGAGGAUUUGAAGAAGCAAGGAGCAUGGAAAUAUUUUAAAGGCUGAGCAGUUUUUUUGACAUCUUUAAAUUUAAUUUUUAAAUUUAAAAAACUUUUCAUUUGGAAAAGAUUUUAUUGACAAACAUUCUUAAAAAAUUGUACAAAGGCUUUCUCCAUAUUCUUCACCAAGAUUCUCCAAAUGUUGACAUCUAACAAGACUACGUACAAUGAUUAAGAUCAGGAAUUUUUCUCUGAUAUAAUACUAUUAUCUAAUCUAUAGGCCUUAUUCAAAUAUCAUUAAUUAUCCUAAUGAUCUUUUUUUCUGGCUCAGGACCUAAUCCAGGAUCACACAUUGCAUUUGGUUGUUAUGUUUCCUUUAAUCUGGAAGAGGUUUUUCUGUGUGUGUUAUUGGUAACCUUAAUAUUUUCAAAGAAUUUUGGUCAGUUAUUUCACGAAAUGGUACUGAAGUUGGGUUUGUCUAAUGUUUGCUCACAAUUUAAAUUUGGGUUAUACAUUUUUGGAAUAAAUAUUACAGAGUGAUGCUGUAUCCAUCUUAGUGCAUUGUAAUCAGACAUAUGAUGCCAAUUUGGACCAUUAUAGGUCAUGAAAAUUUUGAUCACUAAAUUAGCAUGGAGCCUGCCAUGUUUCCCUACUAUAAUGUCACUAUUGUUUCCUUUGUAAUUAGUAUAAAACUUAUGAAGUGAAAGCUAGCCAAUACAGGGAGGCUCAAAUAGGGAUAAACCCAGCAGAUAGAAGAUGAGGGAGGUGACAUAUUUUGACAUAUGUAAAUAUCUUGUUAGUCAUCAUAGUUUUGUUCACUAAUUUUAAAAUUUAUUGGUGAACCUUGCCUAAAGCAGUUAGGGUGGUAUUUGCCAAAUGGUGAUUUUCUAACUCCAUUAUUUCUUUUAUAUUUAUUAGUUGGAAUUCUACUGUACUUCUUCUUCUCUCCCAUUUAUUUGUUUGUUAGUAUCAGUAUAGUCUCGUGCAUUCUUACUUUAUUCCUUGGAUUAUAAUCCAUUACUAGCGUUAUUUUAUUGCUCAAAUUGUCCCAGAUUUGACUGUAGGGAGUUUCUUCGAGUAGCCUCCUGUGUUCUUUUGACAUAUUCCCAAUCUUUUUGUGGGUGUAUUUUCUUAUUUCUGGCAUUAUAAGACAAUUCAUGCCCAUCUUCUACUUACCCUGUCUCAGACCUAGAAUCAGCCACUUUCUCCAAGAGACCUAGUAACUUUUAUUGGUAAAUGGUAUUAAGAAACCAAGAUCUGGGCAAUUGGUAUGUUAAUUGGUAUUGGGUGUCAUUGCUUCUAGGCUCUCUCAGCAGACAGAAAUAGGAAAUACAUGUGGGAACACACAUGCAUAUAUUUAUAGAUGCAUAUUUCUAUAUGUAUCUAUAAAUUAAAAGCCAUGAGUGCAUGCUGAUACCUCCAAUUCUAAUUCAACACUACUGAAUUCAUUCUAGCUUCCCACCUUUAUUUGUAACUCCUUUCUCUGACUGUCAGAAACACGGCCCUAAUAUUUUAAUAGUACAUUAUUUCUAAAUCCUUGGAUACAUUGAAGUGGUUUAGAAAGUCCACUCAUCUUUCCAUACAUUCAUUUUCAAAAAUGUCCAUAUCUAAAUAAAACAUUCUCACUGUGUCUCCUAAAAAUACACAACCAAAGUAUUAUCCAGUUACAGCAUCUGUCUCCAAGUCCAGGACUUCUGGAUAAUAUGAAAUCUUACUUCAUUUUGGAUGUAGUUCUUUGUGGUUAGACAAAACUAUGGCUAUAGCAAAUUUAUCAAUCACCCACACAUCCAAUACACAAUAAAGAGAAGAACAAGAAUGACUUCAAUAAAAAAUGUCAAUUACAAAGAGAAUUGAGAAAACACGCACACGCACGCGUGCGCGCGCACACACACACACACACUGGACAUUAGUACAUACAAGACGUAAUCCCCUAGGAUGGGUAUGUGACUUGGGAUGAGAACAUGACUUAAACAAUCCAAUCAGUCAGGGUGAAUCUUGAGCUUCUGACUUAGAGAUGCUGAUACUGAGGAUAUUCUUUCUUUCUUUCAGCAUUAUGGUCUGAUAAUGCUCUGACAGUGGGGGAGGUCAAGCAAUCUGGCAGCCUCCGGUUUUCAUCUCUGGGAGACUCUUCUCUGUUCAUUGACCUCGAUAGCCAUAUCUAGAGAAGUUUCCCUUCCCAGGGGCUGUAUAACUUUAGCAUCCCCUUUUCCUUUUCUGUGUGUGUAACUUUACAGAGCCUGAGAUUGCCUUAGGGCUUGAGCAGACAUGGACUAUGGUUGUCCAGGAUUGGGAUUUCUUUAGCAAUAUAGCUGAUAUAGUUUGGCUGUGUCCCCACCCAAAUCUGAUCGUGAAUUGUAGUUCCCAUAAUCCCCAUGUGUUAUGGGAGGGACUAGGUGGAGAUAACUGAAUAAUGGGGGCAGUUCCCCCAUCCUGUUGUGGUGACAGUGAGUUAGUUCUCACGAGUUCCAAUGGUUUUAUAAGGGGCUUCCCCCUUUGCUGGGCACUCAUUUUUCUUCUCUCUGCUGCCAUGUGAAGAAGGACACGUUUGCCUCCCCUUCUGCCAUGAUUGUAAGUUUCCUGAGGCCUCCACCCAUGAGGAACUGUGAGUGCAUUAAAACUCUUUCCUUUGGCCAGGGGCGGUGGCUCACGCCUGUAAUCCCAGCACUUUGGGAGGCCGAGGCGGGUGGAUCAUGAGGUCAGGAGAUCGAGACCAUCCUGGCUAACACGGUGAAACCCCAUCUCUACUAAAAAUACAAAAAAGUUAGCCAGACGUGGUGGCGGGUGCCUGAAGUCCCAGCUACUCAGGAGGCUGAGGCAGGAGAAUGGCAUGAACCUGGGAGGUGGGGCUUGCAGUGAGCCAAGAUUGCGCCACUG